CAGUCGCCGCGGUAAUACAGAGGGUGCGAGCGUUAAUCGGAUUUACUGGGCGUAAAGCGUGCGUAGGCGGCUUCUUAAGUCGGAUGUGAAAUCCCUGAGCUUAACUUAGGAAUUGCAUUCGAUACUGGUUAGCUAGAGUGUGGGAGAGGAUGGUAGAAUUCCAGGUGUAGCGGUGAAAUGCGUAGAGAUCUGGAGGAAUACCGAUGGCGAAGGCAGCCAUCUGGCCUAACACUGACGCUGAGGUACGAAAGCAUGGGGAGCAAACAGGAUUAGAUACCCGCGUAGUCCCUGUCUCUUAUAC
rnacentral:rRNA from 1 species